AGUGAACGCUGGCGGUAGGCCUAACACAUGCAAGUCGAACGGCAGCACAUUAAGAGCUUGCUCUUACUGGUGGCGAUUGGCGUACGGGUGAGUAAUACCUCGCAAUCUACUUUUUCUUGGGGGAUAACGUAGGGAAACUUACGCUAAUACCUCAUACGACCUACGUUUUAAUUCAUUUGAUCUUCGUACCUUUCUCUAUUUAUUUAUCCGAUGUCGGAUUAGCUAGUUGGCGGGGUAAAGGCCCACCAAGUCGACGAUCCGUAGCUGGUAUGAUAGGAUGAUCAGCAACACGGGAAGUGAGAGACGGUCAAGACUCCUACGGGAGGAAGCAGUGGGGAAUAGUGGACAAUGGGGGAAAGCGUGAUAAAGCAAUACCGCGUGGGUGAAGAAGGCAUAAGGGUUGUAAAGCGAUUUUGUUGGGAAAGAAAAGAAGCAGGUUAAUACGACGAUGUUCUGACGGUACCCAAAGAAUAAGCAACGGCUAACUACGUG
rnacentral:rRNA from 1 species